rnacentral:rRNA from 1 species
UACGUAGGGAGCAAGCGUUGUCCGGAAUCAUUGGGCGUAAAGCGCGCGUAGGCGGCCCCGUAAGUCCGCUGUGAAAGUCAAAGGCUCAACCUUUGAAAGCCGGUGGAUACUGUGGGGCUAGAGUCCGGAAGAGGCGAGUGGAAUUCCUGGUGUAGCGGUGGAAUGCGCAGAUAUCAGGAGGAACACCGGUGGCGAAGGCGGGUCUCUGGGCAACAACUGACGCUGAGGAGCGAAAGCGUGGGGAGCGAACAGG